UCGACAGUAGGAUGUGCAAGUGCUGUGGUGAUCAUCCUUGGGAAAUUGAAACCCCAAGUCUGAUCUUGAGGGGGGAAUAUUUAUUGUAGCACUUGCCAUGACGGGGAGCGACACCUAUGAGCCGCAGUUGGCGGAGGGUGGCGCCAUCUAUGAGAAAAGGUUUAGCGUAGGUAUUGGGGGAGCGCCUGGAACAAAACGAAUUCCGGUAGUUCGCCAUUUGUGGACCCCAGGAGCCAGCCCGCCGAAAAUCCGGCGUCGGUCCGCUUAUGGGUAUGGGUGGGAUCAUUCCCAAGCAAGAUCUGCAACAAGCCAGACGUGUCAGCAAGGCGCUAAGCAGCAAAACCACGGGAGAAAAACCAACAAUAUUCGAAGAUCCCGCCGGCAGUUGUGACAAUUAAUUUUGGGGACGCUCAAAGGCUCCCAAUUGUCCACCGGCGUCAGUAAACCGAGUGUAGAGGUGGAAGUGGUGGCUCGAGGAAAACCCAGGGCAGGCCGAGCAAAAGUCCGAGUGGACUAUUCCGUGUCCACUAUUAAAGAACUCCAGGUGGCUCAACUAAGGAAGUCCAACCAAAGGCGGACGGAGGAGCACCGAGGAAGGAGAAGAAAUCCCGGCCUAAAAUAGGCUAACCGCAGCAAGUUCGCUUCGAACCGAAGCUAGGUUCGAGCGAACGGAGGAGCGCAGAGGAGGCGCUAACCGCAGUGUAGCGCGAUCUUCAAGAACGGGAGGGAGGAAAACAUCGGAGGUGUCCCAGUAAAAGGUCCAGGCUGAAUGGAUAUUCCAGCUUUGGAUCCGGUCCGUAGUGUCCCUGGCCAGUGAUUUCAAGGAGCCAUAUUAGAGAAGCAGUGUAAACCCAAAGUGAAAUGGAUAAGAUUUAAGCAAGAAAAAAAA
rnacentral:sRNA from 1 species